ACUUACUCGAACCGUCCUGACCGCGUAGCUCAGUUGGAAGAGCAUUGGGCUAGUAUUCCAAAGGUCGUAGGUUCGAAUCCCACCGUGGCCGGGCAUGUUUUUCGGGCUCGCCCGGUGUGGAUAUGCACUCAGAGUAACAUCGCAAACAUAUUAUUCACCUGAGUACACAACACCAACACAGAAAAAUUCAUAUUAUAAUUAGUAAGAACACAUUGGUAUAGAAGGAACUAGAUACUGUUCCGAAAUAUCACUUACUCGAACCGUCCUGACCGCGUACGUAGCUCAGUUGGAAGAGCAUUGGGCUAGUAUUCCAAAGGUCGUAGGUUCGAAUCCCACCGUGGCCGGGCAUAUUUUUCAAGCUCGCCCGGUGUGGAUAUGCACUCAGAGAACAUCGGAAACAAAUUA